CCAGCGGACCAGACGGUCGCCUCCGCCUUGCGUGGAGGAGGAAAGUCCGGACUCCAUAGGACAGGGUGGCCGUUAACGGCGGCCUCGAGCGAUCGGGGGAAAGUGCCACAGAAAACAUACCGCCCGGCGGAUCCCGGUCGAACCGGACCGGCGGGUAAGGUUGAAAAGGCGAGGUAAGAGCUCACCGGUCCGCCAGUGAUGGCGGGCGCAUGGUAAACCCCACCCGGAGCAAGACCAAAUAGGAGGGUUGGGUCGUCCGCCUGAAGCCCUCGGGUAAGGUCGCUGGACCCCGCGAGCAAUCACGGGGCUAGAUGAAUGACCGUCCCGCUUCUCGUUGGGAAGCGUCACAGAAUCCGGCUUACCGGUCCGCUGGUCCC
rnacentral:RNase_P_RNA from 1 species